AAUGACUUCUUUUUUCGUGUUUGCAUGCUUAUUUGUUCACUUUAUUUUGCUAGAAGGAGUGGAAAGCCAAUGCGUAGCCGCUAACUAUACAGGCUGUUGUACAAGCUCUCCAUGCCAUGGAGCUGGGUCCAGUUUAUGCUAUUGUGAUGCCAGUUGUUACAUAUACGGUGAUUGCUGUCCAGAUGUAGCCAGCAUUGGUUGUGUAUACUUGGAGAGUUCUUGUGUAUCUGCUGGCUUCACUUCUUGCUGUAAUACUUCUACUAGUUCUUCAUGUCGUGGGACUGGUGGUAAUUCAACCUGUUACUGCGAUCAGUCUUGCUAUACUAAUAACGAUUGCUGCCCUGAUAUUAAUCAAACUAGCUGUGUACAAAGCAACGUUACUGAAACAGGUUCUUGUGUUAGUGCUGGUUUCAGUGGGUGUUGUAGCUAUGCUACUAGCACAUCAUGUCGUGGUCACACACCCUCAGGGAAUCUUGCAACGUGUUACUGUGAUGCUUAUUGCUAUACUUUUGGUGACUGUUGUUCUGAUGUCAAUGCUACUGGUU